rnacentral:rRNA from 1 species
UACAGAGGUCUCAAGCGUUGUUCGGAUUCAUUGGGCGUAAAGGGUGCGUAGGUGGCGCCGUAAGUCGGGUGUGAAAUUUCGGAGCUUAACUCCGAAACUGCAUUCGAUACUGCGGUGCUUGAGGACUGGAGAGGAGACUGGAAUUCAUGGUGUAGCAGUGAAAUGCGUAGAGAUCAUGAGGAAGACCAGUGGCGAAGGCGGGUCUCGUGGACAGUUCCUGGACACUGAGGCACGAAGGCCAGGGGAGCAAACGGG